ensembl:misc_RNA Metazoa_SRP Metazoan signal recognition particle RNA
GCCAGGCGCAGUGGCUUACGCCUAUAAUCCCAGCACUUUGGGAGGCUGAGGUGGGAGGAUCGCCUGAGCCCGGGAGGUCAAGGCUGCAGUGAGCUAAGAUUGUGCCACUGCACCCCAGCCUGGGCAACAGCGUGAAACCCCAUCUCAA